GAUUUACUUCGGUAAUGACGUUAGGAAAGCGAGCGGCGGAUGGGUGAGUAACACGUGGGGAAUCUGCCCCAUAGUCUGGGAUACCACUUGGAAACAGGUGCUAAUACCGGAUAAGAAAGCAGAUCGCAUGAUCAGCUUUUAAAAGGCGGCGUAAGCUGUCGCUAUGGGAUGGCCCCGCGGUGCAUUAGCUAGUUGGUAAGGUAAAGGCUUACCAAGGCGAUGAUGCAUAGCCGAGUUGAGAGACUGAUCGGCCACAUUGGGACUGAGACACGGCCCAAACUCCUACGGGAGGCAGCAGUAGGGAAUCUUCCACAAUGGACGCAAGUCUGAUGGAGCAACGCCGCGUGAGUGAAGAAGGUUUUCGGAUCGUAAAGCUCUGUUGUUGGUGAAGAAGGAUAGAGGUAGUAACUGGCCUUUAUUUGACGGUAAUCAACCAGAAAGUCACGGCUAACUACGUGCCAGCAGCCGCGGUAAUACGUAGGUGGCAAGCGUUGUCCGGAUUUAUUGGGCGUAAAGCGAGCGCAGGCGGAAGAAUAAGUCUGAUGUGAAAGCCCUCGGCUUAACCGAGGAACUGCAUCGGAAACUGUUUUUCUUGAGUGCAGAAGAGGAGAGUGGAACUCCAUGUGUAGCGGUGGAAUGCGUAGAUAUAUGGAAGAACACCAGUGGCGAAGGCGGCUCUCUGGUCUGCAACUGACGCUGAGGCUCGAAAGCAUGGGUAGCGAACA
rnacentral:rRNA from 1 species